rnacentral:rRNA from 1 species
AUUGAACGCUGGCGGCAUGCUUUACACAUGCAAGUCGAACGGUAACAGGUUAAGCUGACGAGUGGCGAACGGGUGAGUAAUGCAUCGGAACGUGCCCGGUCGUGGGGGAUAACGCAGCGAAAGUUGCGCUAAUACCGCAUACGACCUGAGGAUGAAAGCGGGGGACCGUAAGGCCUCGCGCGAUCGGAGCGGCCGAUGUCAGGUUAGGUAGUUGGUGGGGUAAAGGUCCACCAAGCCAACGAUCUGUAGCUGGUCUGAGAGGACGACCAGCCCCAGUGGGACUGAGACACGGCACAGACUCCUACGGGAUGCAGCAGUGGGGAAUUGUGGACAAUGGGCGAAAGCCUGAUCCAGCACUGCCGCGUGGAGGAAGAAGGCCUUCGGGUUGUAAACUGCUUUUGUACGGAGCGAAAAGGUCUCCUCUAAUACAGGGGGCUCAUGACGGUACCGUAAGAGUAAGCACCGGCUAACAACGUGCCAGCCGCCGCGGUAA